rnacentral:lncRNA from 1 species
GGUCAGGGUUUUGAUCUUUAUUAAUAUUUGCUCUAAUGAGAGAUAGUUGAACUUUGUCAUUUUUGGGUAACCAAUUCAUAAAUCUCUUAGACUAUCUUGUAAGUCAUCUGUUUACACUUUUUCUCCGUUCCGAUAUAUGAUUUGGCCACUUUUGAAAAAAAAAAACGUUUUUUUUAGCAGCGGAACAUGUAAAAGCUUGUGUUUUGG